GUCUAUGGCCAUACCACCUUGAACACGCCAGAUCUCGUCUGAGCGCGGAAGCUAAGUAGGGUUGGGCCUGGUUAGUACUUGGAUGGGAGAAUCCAACAGUUUAUCCACUGUGCCACACACC
ensembl:rRNA 5S_rRNA 5S ribosomal RNA